GACGAACGCUGGCGGCGUGCCUAAUACAUGCAAGUUGAGCGCUGAAGGUUGGUACUUGUACCAACUGGAUGAGCAGCGAACGGGUGAGUAACGCGUGGGGAAUCUGCCUUUGAGCGGGGGACAACAUUUGGAAACGAAUGCUAAUACCGCAUAAAAACUUUAAACACAAGUUUUAAGUUUGAAAGAUGCAAUUGCAUCACUCAAAGAUGAUCCCGCGUUGUAUUAGCUAGUUGGUGAGGUAAAGGCUCACCAAGGCGAUGAUACAUAGCCGACCUGAGAGGGUGAUCGGCCACAUUGGGACUGAGACACGGCCCAAACUCCUACGGGAGGCAGCAGUAGGGAAUCUUCGGCAAAGGACGAAAGUCUGACCGAGCAACGCCGCGUGAGUGAAGAAGGUUUUCGGAUCGUAAAACUCUGUUGGUAGGGAAGAACGUUGGUGAGAGUGGAAAGCUCAUCAAGUGACGGUAACUACCCAGAAAGGGACGGCUAACUACGU
rnacentral:rRNA from 1 species